rnacentral:tRNA from 1 species
AAAUUUAGGAUAACUAAACCAAGGGCCUUCAAAGCCCUAAACAAAGCAAAACUUCUAAUUUCUG